rnacentral:rRNA from 1 species
UACGUAGGGUGCGAGCGUUGUCCGGAAUUAUUGGGCGUAAAGAGCUCGUAGGCGGUGUGUCACGUCGAUCGUGAAAACUUUCAGCUUAACUGGGAGCUUGCGGUCGAUACGGGCAUCACUGGAGUUCGGCAGGGGAGACUGGAAUUCAAGGUGUAGCGGUGAAAUGCGCAGAUAUCAGGAGGAACACCGGUGGCGAAGGCGGGGUCUCUGGACAGUUCCUGACACUGAGGCACGAAGGCCAGGGGGAGCAAAACGGGG